UUUUAUGAGAGUUUGAUCCUGGCUCAGGACGAACGCUGGCGGCGUGCCUAAUACAUGCAAGUCGAACGCUUCUUUUUCCACCGGAGCUUGCUCCACCGGAAAAAGAGGAGUGGCGAACGGGUGAGUAACACGUGGGUAACCUGCCCAUCAGAAGGGGAUAACACUUGGAAACAGGUGCUAAUACCGUAUAACAAUCAAAACCGCAUGGUUUUGAUUUGAAAGGCGCUUUCGGGUGUCGCUGAUGGAUGGACCCGCGGUGCAUUAGCUAGUUGGUGAGGUAACGGCUCACCAAGGCCACGAUGCAUAGCCGACCUGAGAGGGUGAUCGGCCACAUUGGGACUGAGACACGGCCCAAACUCCUACGGGAGGCAGCAGUAGGGAAUCUUCGGCAAUGGACGAAAGUCUGACCGAGCAACGCCGCGUGAGUGAAGAAGGUUUUCGGAUCGUAAAACUCUGUUGUUAGAGAAUAACAAGGAUGAGAGUAACUAUUCAUCCCUAGACGGUACCUUACCAGAAAGACACGGCUAACUACGUGCCAGC
rnacentral:rRNA from 1 species